rnacentral:misc_RNA from 1 species
UAGCCCCUGCUGAGAAUGAAAUUCAGAUUUUAUUCAAUCUGAAAGUUGUGUGUGUUUUAGAUACAAUUGAAAAAAAACUUGAAUCUGGACUUUGUGAUACUAAAAAAUUUCCUCAUCAUUUUGUUCUGCAGCCAUUUUUACAGGUUGAAGCUUAUAACUGAAAACUUGAUUCAAAGAAUCGCAGCUGAAGAAAUCAAACUAACGAGAAAACGAGCAGUGACAAUUC